GAUGAACGCUAGCGGCAGGCUUAAUACAUGCAAGUCGUGGGGCAGCAGGUUUGUAGCAAUACAGAUGCUGGCGACCGGCAAACGGGUGCGGAACACGUACAGAACCUUCCUUUGAGCGGGGAAUAGCCCAGAGAAAUUUGGAUUAAUACCCCGUAGUAUAAUGAAGUGGCAUCACUUUAUAUUAAAGAUUUAUCACUCGAAGAUGGCUGUGCGGCUGAUUAGGUAGUUGGCGGGGUAAAGGCCCACCAAGCCUGCGAUCAGUAACUGGUGUGAGAGCACGACCAGUCACACGGGCACUGAGACACGGGCCCGACUCCUACGGGAGGCAGCAGUAAGGAAUAUUGGUCAAUGGAGGCAAACUCUGAACCAGCCAUGCCGCGUGGAGGAAUGAAGGUCCUCUGGAUUGUAAACUUCUUUUAUAUUGGGACGAAAAAAGGACUUUUCUAAGUCGUCUGACGGUACCAUAUGAAUAAGCACCGGCUAACUCCGUGCCAGCAGCCGCGGUAA
rnacentral:rRNA from 1 species